rnacentral:lncRNA from 1 species
GAAACCACAGAGCUCAAACACAGGCUAAGAGACAGGUGAAUACCCAAUAUCAUGUGAGUCUUCGUCAUCUGCUCCUCUCUUGUUAGCUAAGUCACAUUUUUCCCCAAAGCACCCAGGACCAUGUCCCUUGGGAAGGUCUGAGACUGGGGACAGCAGUAAUUCUAACAGGGCCUUCCUUGAGCCUCAGGGAGGUGAGUGCCCAGAGAACAAGGCCCUGCAGGAGGGCACCCUGGGCAGGAGAUGCCACAGAGCCGGCUCCCGGGGAGGGGUCUGGUGGACGCCACCUUAGCCUGAGCUUGGAACAAAACUAACCUGGGCUUCUAUAUAAAUUUCACCUUCACCCCCAAGGAAGUGUUAGCUCCUUUAGAACUCACCUCUAUUUC